rfam:Branchiostoma floridae genomic scaffold BRAFLscaffold_70, whole genome shotgun sequence.
GCCUACGGCCAUAUCACGUUGAAUACACCCGAUCUCGUUCGAUCUCGGAAGUUAAGCAACGUCGAGUCCGGUCAGUACUUGGAUGGGAGACCGCCUGGGAACGGCGGAUGACCCCCCGCU